GGUUAAGCGACUAAGCGUACACGGUGGAUGCCCUGGCAGUCAGAGGCGAUGAAGGACGUGCUAAUCUGCGAUAAGCGCCGGUAAGGUGAUAUGAACCGUUAUAACCGGCGAUUUCCGAAUGGGGAAACCCAGUGUGACUCGUCACACUAUCAUUAACUGAAUCCAUAGGUUAAUGAGGCGAACCGGGGGAACUGAAACAUCUAAGUACCCCGAGGAAAAGAAAUCAACCGAGAUUCCCCCAGUAGCGGCGAGCGAACGGGGAGGAGCCCAGAGCCUGAAUCAGCAUGUGUGUUAGUGGAAGCGUCUGGAAAGGCGCGCGAUACAGGGUGACAGCCCCGUACACAAAAGCGCAUGUGUUGUGAGCUCGAUGAGUAGGGCGGGACACGUGGUAUCCUGUCUGAAUAUGGGGGGACCAUCCUCCAAGGCUAAAUACUCCUGACUGACCGAUAGUGAACCAGUACCGUGAGGGAAAGGCGAAAAGAACCCCGGCGAGGGGAGUGAAAAAGAACCUGAAACCGUGUACGUACAAGCAGUGGGAGCACCCUUCGGGGUGUGACUGCGUACCUUUUGUAUAAUGGGUCAGCGACUUAUAUUCUGUAGCAAGGUUAACCGUAUAGGGGAGCCGUAGGGAAACCGAGUCUUAAUUGGGCGUUAAGUUGCAGGGUAUAGACCCGAAACCCGGUGAUCUAGCCAUGGGCAGGUUGAAGGUUGGGUAACACUAACUGGAGGACCGAACCGACUAAUGUUGAAAAAUUAGCGGAUGACCUGUGGCUGGGGGUGAAAGGCCAAUCAAACCGGGAGAUAGCUGGUUCUCCCCGAAAGCUAUUUAGGUAGCGCCUCGUGAAUUCAUCUCCGGGGGUAGAGCACUGUUUCGGCUAGGGGGCCAUCCCGGCUUACCAACCCGAUGCAAACUGCGAAUACCGGAGAAUGUUAUCACGGGAGACACACGGCGGGUGCUAACGUCCGUCGUGAAGAGGGAAACAACCCAGACCGCCAGCUAAGGUCCCAAAGUCAUAGUUAAGUGGGAAACGAUGUGGGAAGGCCCAGACAGCCAGGAUGUUGGCUUAGAAGCAGCCAUCAUUUAAAGAAAGCGUAAUAGCUCACUGGUCGAGUCGGCCUGCGCGGAAGAUGUAACGGGGCUAAACUAUGCACCGAAGCUGCGGCAGCGACACUAUGUGUUGUUGGGUAGGGGAGCGUUCUGUAAGCCUGUGAAGGUGUGUCGUGAGGCAUGCUGGAGGUAUCAGAAGUGCGAAUGCUGACAUAAGUAACGAUAAAGCGGGUGAAAAGCCCGCUCGCCGGAAGACCAAGGGUUCCUGUCCAACGUUAAUCGGGGCAGGGUGAGUCGACCCCUAAGGCGAGGCCGAAAGGCGUAGUCGAUGGGAAACGGGUUAAUAUUCCCGUACUUGGUGUUACUGCGAAGGGGGGACGGAGAAGGCUAUGUUGGCCGGGCGACGGUUGUCCCGGUUUAAGCGUGUAGGUGUGUGUUCCAGGUAAAUCCGGUUCACUUUAACACUGAGGCGUGAUGACGAGGCACUACGGUGCUGAAGCAACAAAUGCCCUGCUUCCAGGAAAAGCCUCUAAGCAUCAGGUAACAUCAAAUCGUACCCCAAACCGACACAGGUGGUCAGGUAGAGAAUACCAAGGCGCUUGAGAGAACUCGGGUGAAGGAACUAGGCAAAAUGGUGCCGUAACUUCGGGAGAAGGCACGCUGACACGUAGGUGAAGUGAUUUACUCAUGGAGCUGAAGUCAGUCGAAGAUACCAGCUGGCUGCAACUGUUUAUUAAAAACACAGCACUGUGCAAACACGAAAGUGGACGUAUACGGUGUGACGCCUGCCCGGUGCCGGAAGGUUAAUUGAUGGGGUCAGCGCAAGCGAAGCUCCUGAUCGAAGCCCCGGUAAACGGCGGCCGUAACUAUAACGGUCCUAAGGUAGCGAAAUUCCUUGUCGGGUAAGUUCCGACCUGCACGAAUGGCGUAAUGAUGGCCAGGCUGUCUCCACCCGAGACUCAGUGAAAUUGAACUCGCUGUGAAGAUGCAGUGUACCCGCGGCAAGACGGAAAGACCCCGUGAACCUUUACUAUAGCUUGACACUGAACAUUGAGCCUUGAUGUGUAGGAUAGGUGGGAGGCUUUGAAGUGUGGACGCCAGUCUGCAUGGAGCCGACCUUGAAAUACCACCCUUUAAUGUUUGAUGUUCUAACGUGGACCCGUGAUCCGGGUUGCGGACAGUGUCUGGUGGGUAGUUUGACUGGGGCGGUCUCCUCCUAAAGAGUAACGGAGGAGCACGAAGGUUGGCUAAUCCUGGUCGGACAUCAGGAGGUUAGUGCAAUGGCAUAAGCCAGCUUGACUGCGAGCGUGACGGCGCGAGCAGGUGCGAAAGCAGGUCAUAGUGAUCCGGUGGUUCUGAAUGGAAGGGCCAUCGCUCAACGGAUAAAAGGUACUCCGGGGAUAACAGGCUGAUACCGCCCAAGAGUUCAUAUCGACGGCGGUGUUUGGCACCUCGAUGUCGGCUCAUCACAUCCUGGGGCUGAAGUAGGUCCCAAGGGUAUGGCUGUUCGCCAUUUAAAGUGGUACGCGAGCUGGGUUUAGAACGUCGUGAGACAGUUCGGUCCCUAUCUGCCGUGGGCGCUGGAGAACUGAGGGGGGCUGCUCCUAGUACGAGAGGACCGGAGUGGACGCAUCACUGGUGUUCGGGUUGUCAUGCCAAUGGCACUGCCCGGUAGCUAAAUGCGGAAGAGAUAAGUGCUGAAAGCAUCUAAGCACGAAACUUGCCCCGAGAUGAGUUCUCCCUGAGACUUAAAGUCUCCUGAAGGAACGUUGAAGACGACGACGUUGAUAGGCCGGGUGUGUAAGCGCAGCGAUGCGUUGAGCUAACCGGUACUAAUGAACCGUGAGGCUUAACCUU
rnacentral:rRNA from 1 species